UACGGGGGGGGGCAAGCGUUGUUCGGAAUUACUGGGCGUAAAGGGCUCGUAGGUGGCCAACUAAGUCAGACGUGAAAUCCCUCGGCUUAACCGGGGAACUGCGUCUGAUACUGGAUGGCUUGAAUCCGGGAGAGGGAUGCGGAAUUCCAGGUGUAGCGGUGAAAUGCGUAGAUAUCUGGAGGAACACCGGUGGCGAAGGCGGCAUCCUGGACCGGCAUUGACGCUGAGGAGCGAAAGCCAGGGGAGCAAACGGG
rnacentral:rRNA from 1 species